rnacentral:misc_RNA from 1 species
AUGUCUACGUGUUUACUGCGGCCGCCCUCCGCUCUCUACGCACUCGUUGGCUCACAUGUUUUAAUUAAUAACUCGAACGAGCUCAAUACGAUGACGACGACGACCACCACAACGGUCACGACGCCCGCCACAGCCACGACGGCUACGAUGGCGGUGUCUGAAAAAAUUACCGGGGCGACAUCGACGACGGCAGCGAUGGCCACGAUGGCGACCGAGCCAAUAACGUUAACAUAAUAGCUGUUUUAGGAAGAGCAAGAGGAAGAGGAAGAGGAAGAGGAACAGGGAAAGAAAGAGGUG